CUGAGUUCCGGAGACAGACUGGGCUUCUGCUUUCUUUUGGGGGAGGUGUCUGCUCGCAGAAAAUUUAUGUUCUGGGCAUUUUAAUCUCGGCUGCUGUCCCAGAACCCUCAGACACCUGGACUGCAAGAAAAUUAAGACUUGGUGAUGUUCACAAAUGGCCCUUUUGUGAACCGGCUUUCUACACCACCCUUUAAUGCAACAAUGGGAUGAAGAGAUGAAGACUUCUAGCAGGCUACCUCAGAAAGGUUGCUGACCAAAGGCUGUGUGGACCAAAAAGUGAUAACACCACCCUGGAUGACAGGACGUUUACCUAAGGAAUUACCCUCUCUCAAUUCUUCCCAGGUGUGUGUAGUAUAGAUUAAAUAAGGCGGUUGUAUGGCAACAUAGACAUUAUUAGAAA
rnacentral:lncRNA from 1 species